rnacentral:rRNA from 1 species
UUUUUUUGAAGAACGCAGCAAAGUGCGAUAAGUGGUAUCAAUUGCAGAAUCAUUCAAUUACCGAAUCUUUGACGCAAACGGCGCAUGGGAGAAGCUCUUCAGAGUCAUCCCCGUGCAUGCCAUAUUUCUCAGUGUCGAACA